AACAAUAAUAAACAUCAGUUCACAACGUGCGUCCGUUUCGUUCGUUUUGUCUCGCGUCUUUUCGUGAUUUCGUUAUCGUCUUUGCGUUUUAACGGUUAUUUUUUUUUUUUCAAAAUUUAUACUCCUGACGCAGGCUGUCGAACAAGAUACGGUAUAUAAUAAUAUCUCUGACAAUUUGUUCGUCAUAAGUCACUGGAUUCUUUCGAAUUAUUCAGAUACCUGAACGCCACACGUGUCCGGAGAACGGAACCCUCACAAGUCACAGCCCACAGGGCUACGAGUUGUGUUAUUUGCAAAAAAUAUACUUUCCACCCUGUGAUUUAGAAUUUUAUUGAACGCUGGCUUGAACGUAAUGGUGCGUUACAGUAACAUGACUGGAAAUAUUAUUUUACAAUAACAGAACAAAGUCUUGAAAUACAA